CAAAAAGAGAAGGCAAAUGUCACUGCAGGGCUCACUGCCUCUAGGCUGCUCAGCCGCCCGAACUUCUGGGGGAAGAGGUGCAGAAACCCUGAGAAAAGGGGAUCACGUAGGGCGUCGCUGAACCGGUAUUCCCAAGAGAGCUGCCAAGAACCAAGAGAACGCCUGCCACUCCUACGCCUCCCCAGAGACCCUGGGAGCCGAAGCCACACACCCGGGCCGGAGCGCGCACGGCCGAGCAGGGGCCACGUUUCCCGGCGCUAGCGUGGUUAGCGCUUCCCGGCCGCCAGCUCCCUCGGAAACUGCGCACGUGUGGGCAGCCGUGGCCACCGUGCACGGACCGGAGGACGCCUCUCGCCGCGGCUCGGACACUGGGCGCGCCAGCGGGAGCCGCGAAGAGCUGGAACCCCAAAGCCCUCGGAUCGCGUGGGCAGACGUGGAUAUAAUCACCUAAUGGAUGAGAAGCCUUCUGAACUUUGCAAUGGUGAUAUCGCUGAAGAGAAGCCACCCUCUGGAUGAUUAAGGGGACUCCUGGCAUAUGUGACCAGGCCCAUAAUCUUCAGAGACAUCAGACUUUUUAAAAUUUCAUUAAAUAAAUGUUAAGCUAGA